UUUACUAACAGUUCGUAAGUUGUGCGUAAGUUUUUACGUACAUUUUCAACUUACGUAAAUAAUACGAAUUGCGUACGUGCGUUUUACUAAAAUUUCGUAAGUGUAAAUAUUUGCGUAGGAAUAAAUAAUGCGUAACUCUCCGAUUGGAGGUAGAAAUCUCUCUUGGCGCGCACCUGUCAAAAAGAUAAACAAUGGCGACGCCGCAAAAGUUUAAAAGGAAAGAGAAUUGGUCCAGAGCAGAGCAUGAAAUGCUGAGGUAUUCAUUCCUUGAUGAAAGCCAUGCCAUUGAAAGCAAGUCCAACCAUUACUCAUGUCGAUGAGAAAAAUCGUGGAAGAGGAAUGAAAAGAGACUGAAUGCCCAGGGUGUCUGCAUUAGAACUCUUGAUGAGUUUAAUAAGAAAUUAACCAACAUCAAGAUGGACGUGAAGAGGAGGCGUCAGAUGGCAGCGCUGACAGGUGGUGUGACUCCGUAUCUGUUCUGAUACAUAGAAGGGCCACUUCUGGCCUAUAUAUCUACGGGGUGACUCCUCCAAAGUUCAAUGAGCAGGAGGAGAAGAAACAAGUCCAUCAUCUUUGGUGCUGCACCAUACUGCCAAAACAGCUACAUGUUCAUCGUUUGCAGUUAUGUCAAUUUACCUCCAACAUAGUGUUUCCUGCAAUGUCCCAGGGGGCUGCCAUGAUUCCAAAAAGUACAACACCAACUGCAGCAAAAGUGACAAGAGUUUCCAAGAUUCCAUCUACAAGCAACUUGAAAAGACUUCUUAAAUGCCAGAGUGAGCUCUAUGAGCAAAUAUUACAUCAACAAAAACUGACAAUUGACUGUCUCCUUUAUUACAAUUUAUUUCAUGAAUGAUAACUUAAAUAAAAUGUGACUCAGCAACUGUUUUAAAUCAACAAACAUUCUAACAUAAACCUUUGAAGUCUUAUAGUAGAAUCAUAUACCUGGAAGUCUUUGAUUAUUUUAUCUACUUAAAAAACUCACAAUCCACUUAAAUAUUGCUGACACUUGAAGCUUUGCAUAUUUUAUUCACUAUUGCAUUUAAUAAAUCUUUAUUUACCUGUCAACCUAUUCAUAUUCAAGUAAUCUAAUAUUAAAAUACAUAUGGAAAAGCACUUUCAUUUAAAGUGACAUCUAUCAAACAUUGUAAUCACAAA